UACUUAUUUUUAAUAUUUCAACUCCUCUUUUACAUGCAGAAGCUACAUAUUCUUGUAUGUUACAUGGGUAUGUGAUGUGCUGCUGAACUGCGUCAUAUAAAUCUCAUCACCCAGGUAGGAAGUAUAGUACCCAAAAGGUAGUUUUCAACACAACUCUCUGCUUGCUUCCUUUCCCCUCUAACAGUAAACAGCGUCAGUUGUUCAUGUGUGCUCAAAUUUAAGCUUCAACUUACAAGUGAAAAUAUGUGGUAGUUGGUCUUCUGUUCCUGAAAUAAUUUGCUUAAUAUUAUGGCCUUCAAUGGCAACUAUGUUUCUGCAAAGGACAUUAAUUUUUUCUUUUUAUAACUGCACAGUAUACAAUUGUGUAAUGUGCAACAUAUUCUGUAUCUGAACCAUCAUAUAUGGGCCCCUGGAUUGAUGCAGUGUUCUUUUAUAUUGUGGACACCAUGGUAAUGAUUAUACAAGUUCAUGUUUAUUCUUGCAUAGAAAAAUUUUCCUUAGAGUAUAUACCUACAGCAAUAAGAUUAUUGGGUUGAAUGUUGGGUUGGUAGCACUAUGUUAUCUGACAAAUCUCCAGACUGCUUUCCACAGUGACUGAACUAAUUUACAUUUACUCUCAAAAUGUAUCAGUGUUCCCUUUUCUCUGGAGCCUCAUCAGGAUGUCUUAUUUUUUGAUAUUUAAUAAUAGUUAUUCAGACUAGUGUGAGAUGGUUUCACAUUGUGGUUUUAAUAUGCAUUUAUCUGAUGGUGCACUGAGAGAUCUAAAGUGCUCCAAGACUGCAAUGAAGGAAUAUACCUUCUAUGUGCAUCAGAAGCUGUGCUGUGCACUCAAUCCUGGUAAGGAGGUAUGGCUCCUGGGAGGCACUGGGAGGUAGGUGUGCCUGCAAAACAGACAUGCCCAAGUCCUGCAGGGAAGCUGGCUUUACUUUCUUUUAUACCUAUAUAGCUAGGGCUAGGUUUUCUCUAAGAAAUGUGAAGCGCUUUCAGGGAAUGGACACCUAUGACUGCACAGUGAGCUGCUCCACACACAAAGGCUCUGCGCUGGCUGAAGCAUUGCUUUUCUUACUCUCUGGGAAGAUUACUUUGCCAGCUCAAAUGUUCUUAGGGGACAUGUUGUCCCCAGGACCUAGAAUCCCAGUGCUCUAGGGAAAGAGUUGGAAAUUCCACAGCUUUUUCACUCACCAAUUUCCCCUGAGAAAUUUAGGACAAAGAACUUCCCCGAGCAUUCAAGUUUCUCAUAGUGGGUUCCUAGCUUGUUCCUUCUAGAGCAUUAGUGUGUGCAUCAUAUCUCCAUGCACUCUCCACAUUUUCUUUCUAAAAAUCUGUACAAAUUAUGUUUGUUUACUUGGAAUGUUGGUGUCUACUAAUGGGAAAAGAACUUUCUGGCUGCAUCAAAUUGUUCUUCUUGCCCCUGAAGUCUGAAAAUAAAUUCCUUAAAUUACACAUAAAUAAUUCACAGUAUACAUUUUUUAAAAGCUCAAGGAAAAGCAAUAGUAAACUGAAAUCAGAAUUUAGAGAAACACAGUUAUACAAUAAAAAAUUUUCAAGGAGAUACAUAUUUUUAAAAAAUAAAAGUAAACAAUUAUGGAGAUGAAAAAUGUAUUGGCCAGGCGUGGUGGCUCAUGCCUGUAAUCCCAGCACUUUGGGAGGCCGAGGCGGGUGGAUCACAAGGUCAGGAGAUCGAAACCAUCCUGGCGGACAUGGGGAAACCCCGUCUCUACUAAAAAUACAAAAAAAUUAGCUGGGUGUGGUGGCGGGCACCUAUAGUCCCAGCUACUUGGGAGGCUGAGGCAGGAGAAUGGUGUGAACCUGGGAGGCGUAACUUGCAGUGAGCAGCGAUUGCACCACUGCACUCCAGCCUGGGCAGUACAGCAAGACUCCAUCUCAAAAAAAAAAAAGAAAGAAAAAAAAGAAAAAUCUACUGAGCAUACAAAAUACAUUAGAAACUUUUAAUAAUAGACUAGAUAUAGCAGAAGAAAUAAUCUUAGAACUUGAAGACAUAUCUACUAAAAUAAUCCAGUCAGAAAAAUAUGAAGAAAAACUAUUAAAAAUGUUUAGCACAGGCUUUGAGUCAUUUGGGACAACAUAAAAUGACCCAAUGUAGAAACAAUCAUUAUUUAUAAGAGUGAAAGAAAAUUAAAAGGUCCAGAAUAUUAUAGAAAUCAAAUGUACAUGUUAAGCUAGCCUUGGGAAAAUAAAAUUUAUUGUCAGUUGUUACUCCUGUGACUGACUGAAGACAUUUCCAUGACACCUUAUCUAGUUAAAAAAGCAAAGUAGUAUGUAGACAAUCACUCUUUGAACAUAUUAUCUGGGAUGGAACAAGGAGUAGAACAGAAAGUAAAGGAAAACUCCAUAUGCUGGGAGAGAUUAGAAGGUCAGGCAGCCUAUGUGGCCAGGACCAGCCAAAACCUGGGAAUAAAUACUCUAUAUAGAAGAUAGGUGAGUAUCUUUUGGCAGCCUACUUUUUAGUUGGAUCUUAAAGUACAGACCAUAUGACACCACCGCGCCUGGCCAGCAUUUCUUAAAGAGCAGUUCAACUAGUUUUUAGUGUUUGUUUAACUAGAGGUAGAAUACUUUGUUCUUCAUUCAUGAACAAUAGUUUUUUUAAAUAUGGAAUCUUUGUAUGA
rnacentral:lncRNA from 10 species